GCGCCCGUAGUUUAAUGGAUAGAAUUGAGGAUUCCGGUUCCUUAGGUUGGGGUUCGAUUCCCCACGGGCGUACCA
rnacentral:tRNA from 1 species